GAAAUGCGAUAAGUAAUGUGAAUUGCAGAAUUCAGUGAAUCAUCGAAUCUUUGAACGCACCUUGCACUCCUUGGUAUUCCGAGGAGUAUGCCUGUUUGAGUGUCUUGUAAUCAUCAAUCUGACAUUACUUUUGUGAUGGCUGAUUGGAUUUGGAGACUGCUGGUCUAAUCACUGGCUUCUCUUGAAUGCAUUAGUUGAAUCGACUUGCAACGCUACGUGUGGUGUGAUAAUAUCUUCACUACAUAGUUGUAAUGACGUUUGGCUUCUAACAGUCCUUCAUUGGACAAUACUUGACCAUUUGACCUCAAAUCAGGUAGGACUACCCGCUGAACUUAA
rnacentral:misc_RNA from 1 species